rnacentral:rRNA from 1 species
GAUGAACGCUGGCGGCGUGCCUAAUACAUGCAAGUCGAGCGAACAGACGAGGAGCUUGCUCCUCUGACGUUAGCGGCGGACGGGUGAGUAACACGUGGAUAACCUACCUAUAAGACUGGGAUAACUUCGGGAAACCGGAGCUAAUACCGGAUAAUAUAUUGAACCGCAUGGUUCAAUAGUGAAAUACGGUUUUGCUGUCACUUAUAGAUGGAUCCGCGCCGCAUUAGCUAGUUGGUAAGGUAACGGCUUACCAAGGCGACGAUGCGUAGCCGACCUGAGAGGGUGAUCGGCCACACUGGAACUGAGACACGGUCCAGAGUCCUACGGGAGGCAGCAGUAGGGAAUCGUCCGCAAAGGGCGAAAGCCUGACGGAGCAACGCCGCGUGAGUGAUGAAGGUCUUCGGAUCGUAAAACUCUGUUAUUAGGGGAGAACAAAUGUGUAAGUAACUAUGCACGUCUUGACGGUACCUAAUCAGAAAGCCACGGCUAACUACGUG